CAGCAGCCACGGGAAUACGAGGGGGGCAAGCGUUGUUCGGAAUUAUUGGGCGUAAAGGGUGCGUAGGCGGUUUGAUAAGUCAUCUGUGAAAUCUCUGGGCUCAACCCAGAGUCUGCAGGCGAAACUGUCGGGCUUGAGUAUGGGAGAGGUGAGUGGAAUUUCCGGUGUAGCGGUAAAAUGCGUAGAUAUCGGAAGGAACACCUGUGGCGAAAGCGGCUCACUGGACAUUUACUGACGCUGAUGCACGAAAGCUAGGGGAGCAAACAGGAUUAGAUACCCCGGUAGUCCCUGUCUCUUAUAC
rnacentral:rRNA from 1 species